rnacentral:lncRNA from 1 species
GGGGUCCUGCACUGCGCAUGUGCCUCGCGGGCUCCGCGGCCCCCUUCCCACUGCGCCCUGGCACCCACUCGCGCCCCCUCGCGGGCCACGUUGGUUAAAUGAACGGAUGCAGGAUACAGAGGGCCUGUGGAUAUAGACGGCUGACUGAAUGUACACGUUUACUAUAUAAUUUUGUUUGUAAAUUAUAUUAUGAUUUAAUUCUAUUUAUAACUUUAUAAUUUUUUGUUUUACAAGCCUAUAGAAUUAUAUAUAAUUAUUGUAGUUUAUCCUUAUCUCUGUUUCACGGAGAGGUAAAUGAUGACCAGGGAGUUACAAAGCUUCAUAAGUUUCUCGUGAGUACCAGGGAGCAGAGCCGGGGUCUAAACCAGUCUGCCUUUUUUCUGAAGCCAGAGUCCUCUUCUUUACACCAAGCUACUCUAUAGAAAGAGCAUUCUCAGGCCAGGCGCAGUGGUUCACACCUGUAAUCCCAGCACUUUGGGAGGCCGAGACGGGUGGAUCACCUGAGGCCAGGAGUUGGAGACCAGCCUGACCAACAUGGUGAAACUCCGUCUCUACUAAAAAUACAAAAAUUAGCCAGGCGUGGUGGCCUGCACCUGCAAUCCCAGCUAUUCAGGAGGUGGAAGUAGGAGAAUCGCUUGAACCCGGGAGGUGAAGGUUGCAGUGAACCAGGAUCACGCCACUGCACCGGGAUCGUGCCACUGCACUCCAGCCUGAGCGACAGACUCCGUCUCACCAAAAAAAAAAGGAAUGUGUAUUGGAGAAAAAAUAACAGAGUCUGGCUAAAGAGAUGAAGAGCUCAUGAGGGCGUGUCUCAAUUUAAACAAGAGUAGCAUUGGCAAUUGUUGUCCUUAGCAGCAGCCGACAAGGCGGAAUUGGAAUGGUGCUGCUCCUGACUACCUCUACUCCACGCUAGGCUUAGGGGCUGGAGUGACCCAAGCCCUCAGGGACCUGCAGCGGCUGAAGUCCUCUCAGCACCUGCAAUAUCCCAGAGGGCAAAGACAGGGCCAAAUACUGGAUUCUGGAUUCUCUUCAUUGUUGUCCCCCUGCAAGUGGAGAGGUAUCCAGGCUGGGCCUUGUCCUAAGAUAUGACGGAACUGAAUUCUUCCAGCAAGCAUGUGAGCUUGGAAGAGAACACCAUGCGCCACACGAGAAUGCAUACUGGCCAACACCCUGUGCAAAGAUCCAGAGAAGCUGUGCUCAGACUCCUGACUCAUGAAAAUAGUGAACUUAUAAAUGUAUAUUGUUUUAAGAUGCUAAAUUUGUGGUGAUGUGUUACAUGGCAAUAGAAAACUAAUAGAGAUAAAACUUGACAUUUGAAGUGCAUCACAUAAUGAAAUUAGUAGAUGAGAAUCUCUCUAGAAACAAGUAAAAUUUUGAGUUAAAAUGAGAGACUG